rnacentral:rRNA from 1 species
GCAGUCGAGGGGUAUAAGUCUUCGGAUUUAGAGACCGGCGCACGGGUGCGUAACGCGUAUGCAAUCUACCUUUCACAGAGGGAUAGCCCAGAGAAAUUUGGAUUAAUACCUCAUGGUAUAAUGAGUUGGCAUCAACACAUUAUUAAAGUCACAACGGUGAAAGAUGAGCAUGCGUCCCAUUAGCUAGUUGGUAAGGUAACGGCUUACCAAGGCAACGAUGGGUAGGGGUCCUGAGAGGGAGAUCCCCCACACUGGUACUGAGACACGGACCAGACUCCUACGGGAGGCAGCAGUGAGGAAUAUUGGUCAAUGGGCGCAAGCCUGAACCAGCCAUGCCGCGUGCAGGAUGACGGUCCUAUGGAUUGUAAACUGCUUUUGUACGGGAAGAAACACUCCUACGUGUAGGAGCUUGACGGUACCGUAAGAAUAAGGAUCGGCUAACUCCGUGCCAGCAGCCGCGGUAAUACGGAGGAUCCAAGCGUUAUCCGGAAUCAUUGGGUUUAAAGGGUCCGUAGGCGGUUUAGUAAGUCAGUGGUGAAAGCCCAUCGCUCAACGGUGGAACGGCCAUUGAUACUGCUAGACUUGAAUUAUUAGGAAGUAACUGGAAUAUGUAGUGUAGCGGUGAAAUGCUUAGAGAUUACAUGGAAUACCAAUUGCGAAGGCAGGUUACUACUAAUGGAUUGACGCUGAUGGACGAAAGCGUGGGUAGCGAACAGGAUUAGAUACCCUGGUAGUCCACGCCGUAAACGAUGGAUACUAGCUGUUGGGAGCGACCUCAGUGGCUAAGCGAAAGUGAUAAGUAUCCCACCUGGGGAGUACGUU